UCCCUCCAUCGCUUGCUCUCCCCCACCCUGGCUCAUCUGCUCAUUUUCACUGCAAGGCCCAAAAACGCAUAUUUAUUGUUUUGACAAAUAUAUUAUGCUAAUUUCAGGUUUUAUUUGUUACAGGACGCUAGAGCUGGCAGCAAAAUAGUUAAAAAGGGAAAGCUGUGAGCAGGAGCAAAGGCAGUGAUGCUGUCUGCUCUGAAAGCACCACUAGUAGUGCUUCCCAGGGUUGUGAGGCACCUAACUACCACUUAUCGUGACUGUGAAGAAAUCUUGUCUGCAUCUGCUGUGGAUCAGCUCCCUGAUUCUGCCAACCUCUGGUAACCCAAACGCUUCCUUCCAGGCCUCUGCUAGCCUUGCUCUCCCUGUACAGGUUAGUGCUCCGAGCGUCUAUCUGUAGUGCCCAGCUCCUGAUCCACUGAAUGCUCACAGAACUCUCUGAUUCAUUACUCACAAAGGAAUAGGACAGGCUAGCUUACUAGUUUUAACUCAGAAUCAUCACUCUGGUUAACAAACAGCACUUAGAUAUAUUUCUAGUGAAAACAAGAAUAAGUUUAUUAUCAAAGAACAGAAAUUCAAAUGACAGUAAGAAAGAAUAUUGGAAACAAAUGGCUACAUAAAAACCAAAAUCAUAAUAUGCUUUCUAGAGCCUAAACUAAACUCACAAGACAUUCCCGUUUCCUGCUGAAUAAUUUACCCUAAGUCCUUUUCCAUUUUCAACCAGGAUUACUGAGAUCUUCUUUUCAUAAGAUCAUGCCUGCUGGCAAUGUAUCUUCGCAGACUGAAGGAUGCUAGGGCAUGUCUCUGCACCCCAGAUUUACUAAACCAGACCUUUGAUCUUCAUCUGAAAACAGGGUUCCCUCCCGACCCUUGUUUACCUUUUCCUGUUAAUUUCCUUCUGUGGUCUCCACAAGCUCUUCAUUAACAUUUCACUCAGUAUGCUAACAGAAUUCUGUUGUAAAACAUACAGUACACAAUGGUCCACCAAGGAAAUAAGUAUCUCCCACUUCCAGUCUGGAGAAGUUUUUUCUCAAUUUGAGUGACUUGCAUUUAACUACAAGGCCUAGAGCAGGUAAUUUUCAGCAUAAAUAUAUAUAAAUCCUCACAUUUUCUGUGCAUACAUCUCAUAGUGAUUAGGAUGACCAGUGUGACACAGACUUGCAUUAGAGACUUUACAUUAUGUUCUUUUGGUGAACCUAGGGGAUCCCUGGACUGCCAUGUAUCCUUGUGCCCUCUGCCAGUUGUCAUAAAGAGGUGCUUGGGUCAUCCCACAGCCCUGAAAUACAUCACAUUAUAAGAUUUAAAAACAUAUAUCAGUCUAAGAAUCCACCAGGAUCCUGUUCCAGAUGAGCCAUUCAUAGUGUUAACAGAUUUUUCAUUUUUACUGUAUGUAUUUUCUCAGUUGGUUUAAGAUCAUAAAACAGAUAUAUGUUGUCUUUUUUUAUAUGCAACCAAUAAAAACUUAUUGUCAGUAAAAUAAGCAGUUCAGGCUCUGAAUGCACAUAAGAAGCAGAUCUGUUGAGGAAGAAAGCAUUUUCACAUAGUCACUUUUCUAACCAUAUCAUUUUAAAAACUAUUUGUUUAUAUAGAAACUAAAAUAUGGUGUGAUCUGCUGUUGCAUGGAUAGCCACCUCACUGUGGAAGUGCAAGUUGAUUAACAAAUCCUGUUUCCCGAGCUAUAAUCAUAUUAUGAAAGAUACUGUACUGAUACACAAAAAUACAGAGUAAAA